GUUCCCUACAUCAGCAGCUGGAAGAUUCAAAACAAAGAGUCCAACAGUUCAAGGAUGUGAAAAUAGAUGCUGAAAGUUCUAAUAUACAAAUGACUGCUCCCUCUUCCAGCUGGCAAACUCAAAGCAGCUUUUUGUCCAGCCCACUGCUUUCAGAUUCAGGUUCUUUUAUGAAAAAAAUGGUUCCUUUUGAUAGAAGUGCCACCAAGGAAGAUCACGUUAAUGCUGCUGUCAGUGAAAUGAAGUUGCAAGCAGAAAGAGGGAAACAGUAGAAUGCUUUACAAAAACACAUCAGCUUUCCCUGUGGUGAAUUCAAUUCCAUUCUUUUGUUUUAGAAUAGUAGUAAUUCUAUCUGCUUGUAGGAGUGACAAACCUUUAGUUAUUCAGCUAUUGCCAAAAACUUAACUGAAAGCAUCAAGAAUGAGACUAACAAACUCUGGUGAUAUUGUACAUAACUUGUAUGCCAAAGGUUUUCUAGGAUUAUGCUCUAUUCUCUUGCAUUUGUUUCUGUGGUCCUCCUAGUCUAAAUUCGUUUUAUACCUGAAAUAUUACUAGGUGAAAGAACCGUGACAUUAAUCUUUUCUAUACGCUUAUUUGCACCUGCACAGAAAUUCUAUGGACAUGUUCUUUAAUAACAUUUAAUAAGGUUGUUAAUGAUCAAAGCAUUCAAGAAAUACUUUGGUCCUAAUAUUUAUUGUGAGAGCUAUUGUACUGUUUUAUACAGACACAUAUUUAUGAUUUUAGAUUUUUCAGUUUAAAACCAUCAUUUAACAGGUCAUUAGAAAGAAGUGAUAAUUAUUAAACAAAUCCACAUUUCUUCAAAAUUGGCAGGAAUUCAUAUAAUGGUUUCAGCAUCAGCAUAUCUUUAUUAUUAACUAUUUGAAGUUAUUAUUCUUGCCAGAAUAUACAGUAUCUUAUCAAGUAGCAUGGCAAAUUUUACCUUAUGUGACCUCCAGUAAGGCACUUAACUAGUUUCUUCAUCAGGACCUAUUGACCCCAUCUAUAUUAAGCACUUUGAAGGGCAGUGCUUUCUGGUUGUAAAAAUUUUAAUAGCAGGGUGUGAUGAUCAUUUAUUUAUUCUAUUUUAUUCUUUUUUUAAAAAAGUUUAGACAUGUCAUAUUAAUUUUAAAAUGUUAUGGAAAUACAACAGUGCACUGUUGUAUGAGGCCUGAUGGCUCUGUUCCAAACAAAUUUGAUACGUAUCGAUAUCACUGUGGUCUCAAACAGCACAUCACAGCAGAAUCUUCUUCUACUGCACAUGAAAUGUCAGUGUUUCUGAGGGUCCUGGUUUAAUACUCCUACCUUUAGUGCUUCUGGUCGAGUGACCACUGAUGUGCUUUAAAAAUUUGGCCAAACCUGUCAGAGUACAGGCAACACAAACACCAGUGGAACAAUUCUGUUUUGUCAGCUUCUUUAAUAUUAGGGAGCCUACACCUUCUGAAACACUGUGUCUUUUUUUAUAUUAUUAUUAUUAUUCUUAAAGCACUGUAGGUCUGUUCGUUGUAAUUCCCGGGUCAUUAUGUGCCACCUAAAAAUGGGACUUUUUUUCCUACUGAAGAAGUAUUCUGCAAUCCCUUAAAUUCAGUAGACAGUGGACUUAGUUGAUAGAAUUCUCUUGUAUCCAGCCUGUUUCAAACACAACUUUUUGCUAAGAACUUCAAAAUCAGAAAAGGAAAUGGAAAAAACUUGACUGGAUUUCGUUUGCAUUUUCUAUGCACUUAAAUUACUUGAUUGUAUAAAAACAGUUAUUCACAGUUUUUCAGCUAGUCACAAUUUUUCUAUUUUGGUUUUAAAUGUUUUCUUUACCUUCUGUAUGUGUAUAAUGCUAUGCAUUGUAGUGCUGGCACUGGCUUUUUGCGAACUGCUGGCACAUCUGCUAAUUCAGAAGGUCAGGAAAGCAAAACAGGAACAUCCAUCUCUUCUGAUCUGAGCGGUAAUGACAGGGCCAGAACAAAAACAUAAACAAAUAAUCAUCUAAAGUGGAGAAGGCCGGACAAAUAAAAACAUAUUUGUGUCACGAUGUACAAAGAGUGGGGAUAACAUGAAGUAGUGUUUAACUAGGGCCACAGUUACCAUAAACUAAACUUCCUUUAAGUAUAUCCAGCAUUUGUAAUUUAUUUUUUUAAUUAGAUCAGAGCACAGCUGUAAAUAGAAUGUUUAAAAUAUUUUAGAUGAUUUGUCUGGUAAAGUGUUAAAAAAUUGCAAAAUAAAAUGUCAGCAGCUUGAGUACUUUAUGGUACCUACACAUUAUGGCUAAAAAAAUAUAGAAAGGUCAUUUUAAAAUAUUUUAUAAUACAGUAAAUCAUGUUCUCAAAAUACAUCCUGCUGUACUGAGACCUUUUUAAAAAGGUGACCGAUGCAUGGAUUGCUGAUGGAUAAAUGUAUGCCCAACCCACUUUACUGAUGCUGAAACGGUUUUUUAGAUAUAAAGUACCUAUUGCUAAGUGGGUUGGACUCCAAGAGCCUCAGCUGAGCAGCAGUACAUUGAAAAAUAGUAUCGUCUCUUUUUCCAAAAGAAUUUGUAAAAAUUUGGAUGUUCAUUCUUACUAUUUUAUUUAUUUAUUCAUUUUUCCUCACUUGAACCUCAGAAAUCUGAAUUGCGUUUCUUUAAAACAGUAUCACUACUGCUUUACAGCAUUUGAGAUCUAAGGUUAAGUAGUCUGAACUCCCUCACUAUUACAUCAAGUAUUGAAUCAAUUUUCCUACAAUGAAGGACAGAAUUCACUAGUAGCUGAAUAAUUCUGGCUUUAAGACUUCUUAAAUAUGAUCAGUGCACAAUAUAUUUGCCUUUGGCCACGUGAGUGGUUUUCAGUAGAGUUUUAUUUCCUCUUUUAAAUUUUCUAAAGGGCUGAGGGAAGAGAAGGGAAGAAAUUAAACCACAAAAAAGGGAAUUUUUAAUGAGUAGGCUUAUGAUCUCCAAAGUCAGGAAAUUCUUUCUUAAAUUUACCCUCUUGGCACUGCAGUCCAGAUAGCAUAUAAUAUUUGUCUCUGUUCCACCUUUGAUAGAGGUUCAUAUUACAAAAUGAUUUUUGUUUCCUUUUAUUGAAGGCUAAAGAUCCAUUCAUGACAGUAUUUGAAACUGUCCCUUUGUGGUUUAAGAAAUAAUAUUUUUUCCAUAUUGGCCUGAAAUAAUAAUCCUCUCACCAGUUUCAGUUUUUAAAGUAGAAAAGCAGAUAAUUUUUGUGUAAAACGUUCUAUAUACUUCAAAUCUUCAAAUUUGCUAUCCUUUUUGGUGAUCAGAUCUCUUGAAUUUUAACCCUUUCAUGACCCGUUCCUCCAUUCUUGCACAAAGCAGCAAUUUCCAGUAAUGAAAAAACGUAGGAUCACACAUGCAAGUGGUGUUUGUUCUGUUCAACAUUUGUUAAAUUAGGCUACUUUAUAUGUAUGUACUAAAUAAUGGAUUUAACAAGCUAAUUUUAGGCAUUCGAGUUUUUAAAUACUGUCCUGAAAUACAGUGGUUCAGUCUUGUGCCUCCAGUUAUGGGUUUGUUAAUCUGAAGAAGAUGCACUGGCGCUGUUCAGCAUCCCUUAUUUCAGCCGCGAAUAAUCAACACUUGAAUUACUUUUCAGUUUUACAAUGUCUUUCAGUUCUUUACUGUUUUACAUCAGACUAUAAGAGUACUUACUUUUAAUUAGUUUUGAGAAGGUACUUAUUUAAUAUUCAAAUAAGCUGAUUUUUAUUAUGUAAUUAUAUUAUCCUGAGAAAAAACUUCAAAAUGAAAGUAGAACUUAGUCUAGGAAGCAGUGUCCUUCCGCUGUCAAGAGAAUUGGAGAAGAACUGAAUCACAAUGUAAAACAAAGCAAUUUUCUUACAUUUACCUCUCAAAUUUUUUAUGGAAGCUAAUAUUCAGUUAAUGAUGAAAAUAGUUCCUUGGUCAUUCAGUCCUCAGCCACAUCUUUAGUCCUUUUUUCCAGCUGUCCCACAAAAGUAAGAAAGAUAAAAUUCCUUAACUCAAAGAAAAUGCUAUACUUAUAGUCUUUAAAAUUCACUCUUGUGAAUGUAUCAUGUAUCAGUUCUCCUUUGGUUUACAAAGCAUUGUCUCUGUACCAUAUGAUACUGAAUGGAUUUUUCAUGAAUGAAAAUGUCAACAUUUACUGUGACAGUAAACAAGUAGGUAUUUUUGUCGCAUUCAUAUUUUUAUGGCUAAAAAAUUAGUAAUACAAGACCUGAAUACAUUCUCAUGUCUACCUGAUACCAUUUGGAACUAAAUAUUUUGAGCCUGAUGUUGCAUGUUUUAUUUAAGUUUUAUAUUUAAAUGCAGGAUCUGUUUAAAGAGAACUUUUUUAGGGUUUAUCUUGCUAUCUUUAUUCAGGCAAAUGGCUCCUUAAUAGGUGUUUUGCUUGAGUAAGUACUAGAUUUGCUCCUGUAUUGUCUGUUAGCUCCAUCUUUCUUCAGACUAGAAUUGUUUUGAUCUUAAACUGCUUUUCCCAUCUGUCAUCUACAUUGCACUAGUAUGUCAGAAGAUGCCAUUCCAGUAACCUACCAUCACUUCUUCACUUACCCCACAUUAGUAAUUUCAGUAUUUGGUAUGCCCAGAGAAUGAUAGUAGGAUGAAGGCAGUUCUUUAUUAGAACAUAAUCUCUUGCCAUAUGAAUUUUGCCACUCUAUUUGCAUACUAAAAUAAAGCCUACUUGGUAAAUUGACUAACAUCAGAUCACAAGCUGCUUAAUUUUAAAGCUUAUCCCAUAAGCAAUAAUAAUUGUAUCUUAGUAGGUUUAUCUAGAUUUUCUAAAUGUUAACAAUUCAUUCCACUAUCAGUUUUUAGUGGAAAAUAGUAAAGGAUAGACACUGCUGCAAUAGCCCUGAAAUGCUAUUGAUUCCAGGCAGAAAAUAAGCAAUAAACUAUUUUAGGAGGUCUGCCUAAGUGCUUAGUGUAAGAACUCAAAAGCUCGUAUUAUGAUGUGUAUUUCUUCAGUGUGUCAAUAUCAAAGUACUAUCAGUAGAAACAAUUGCUGGCAUCUGAAAAGUGAUGCUGAGAUUUGCUAAAGGUGAUCCCAGUAUCAUUCUGCAAAUGUGGAUUUCUGUGUCACUCACAUCGUUACACAAAUGUCAAGCUGGGAAGUCAUCUCAAAUGUUAUGUUCUGGCAUUAGGCUUUUCACAGAAGCCACCAGUGUCCCAGUUUUGUACUCAGUAUGGGAAAUGAUUAAGAUGAGUUGUGCUUACUGUUGACCAAGAGAAAAAUUUGCAUCUGUGACGUAAGCCGUUUGGUGUACGGAGCUCAAUGAGUGCCCAUUUUUAAUGAAGCUUUCACUGCUAGGUGCAACCCUGACAACACCAUCUCAUCCAAACAGCUGCAUCCAUGAAGGGAUCAUGUAGUUGGCAGAAUUUUUGUUACAUGUUAUGACUAACACAAGAUGAAUAAGUCCAUCAGAAACCAUGGAUUUGUUUAUUCUGUCUUCACUUGAGAAGUCUCUUAUGAACUCAUAAAGCUUGAAAACCUAAAAGACACAGAGUGAGAAACAUCAGCAGUGAGGCUCUCUAGCCACAUUCUCUUCAUCCAUUGUUUCAUUAGAUGUCUGAAGAGUAAUAAAAGACUAAUUAAAAACAAAACCAAAAAAAUGAAAAUGGAAUAAACUGUUCCUUUUGGAAAAAAUCAGAUAUCAAAGUCAAAAAACAUUCUUCAUGAGUGCAAGUCAUUUCUUAAACUUGAGUGACCCCUUUUUAGACUAUCUUUGAAACCCCUGAAUGUAUUAGUCACCAGACGUCAACUCCAUUUCAUGCCAUCUAUUAUUAUGAGAGACUUACUCACUUUGAUUUAUACUUAACAAUGUCCCUUACUUUAGGAAACUCUGUUAUGUGCAGUGAACAUAAAACUGGAGACAAUUCCACUGAAGACGGUUGAUGUGCUUUAUUUGUGGAGUGCUGGCUGGCUAGUCCAAUGUAUUUUAACAACUGUAUCAGAUGUUCAAAUUCCUGCCUCAAUAUUACAUUACCGGAAAAAAGUGACAAAUACAUAUCCAUUUAGUCUAUAGGUAAUUUUGCAAGAGUGUCCAUGAUAUGAAUUGCUGUUUUUGAAGCUGAGUCACUUUUGAAGCUGAAUUUUCCAUAUGUUCUUAUUGGAAAUAUUGUAAUUUUUUUUUCUCUUAGAAUGAGGAAAAAUUCAGUUAGUGACUUUUGAGUUCUGGAACUUUUUUUUUAAAACCAUAUACUGCUACUUUCUUUUAAAUUAAUUAACUAAAAAAGCAGCUAAUUUAAAUAUCUCAUUACAAGCACUGCUGAUAAAGUGAAUUGGUGUAUGAGUAAUUUUCCUCCAAUUUUUUUGUUUUUAUUUAAUUCAGAUAAAUUGCAGUGUUUUUUACAUUUAAUAUUCUAUGACUGAAGCAAAAUUAAUUUCAUAUGAUCAAGAAUUUAGGUCAGGAAAUUCUCAAACUCAAGUUGCCAAGCCUUAUUAUAUAUGUGACACUGCACAUGUUACCUCACAUUUCACAGUCCACUCUUGCCACUGCUUGUACACUCUAAAGUGACUUAAAGAAUCUGCAUAAUUCCCGAAAAGAAUUAUAUUUGUGCAGGAUGUCUCUGUACCUGUGUAAAGUGAGAAGUGAGGGCUUUAAUACCUCUUAACCUCUUUGCACCAUUAAUGUAAUGGAGAGCGACAUGGUAGAAUGAAAUUCCUCCACAUGCAAUUAUUCCCUUGAAAGACUUUUGCAAGGACUGCAUGUCCUGAUUUAAUAUAAAAGUCUCCUUGAUCAUAUUCCCAUAUAAACUCAUCUAUCAGCAGAAUGUUAGGGGCAUCUCUGUGAAAAAAGUGCAUCCAUUUUAUCUUUACUAAAUUUACAUCUUGUUUCUCCUUCCUCAUGAGUAUGAAUAUGUGAGUGUAUGUAUGUAUAGCAUGCUGCUACUUUUCAUUCCUGUUCAGUAAAAUGCUCUGGAUAGGCAUUGUGUUGAAGCUGGCAUUGCUGAAGUAACCUUAACUAUUGCAUGUUCCUCUAUAUUUGAUUUCUUAAAUGUAUGUGUGUUCAGGUGUGUUCAGACUUCUAACAGCUCUGUUUAGACCUAUUCACCUAAUUACAUGCAUCUUUCUCAUCUUCAUAAACAUGUAUGAUCCUACACUGUGACAUUUUACUGUUCAAAAAGAAAAGAAAUCCUUUAUGGUAUAGAAAUUCAGACUUCACUGCAAAUAGUGGAGGCUUUGUCGCUAAUAUCAAUGGAGUUAGGAUUUCACACUGAAUUUAAAAAAAGAAUGGAGGAGUAUUUUCAACACAUACAGUAGGUAUGUGUUGGUCUUGUGAACAAAUAAAUACAUACAAUGCAUUAAAAAUCCAUUAUCUUAUCUAGAUACUUUCAUAGCAGACUGCAAUAAUUUGGAAUAAUUCAGCAUCACUUCAUUUUUUUUAUUUUAGACAAUUUUUUCAAAAUCUGAUAAAUGGGAUUUUAGGUGCAUUUGGGCUCUUUUAUAGGUACUUUUAUUCUUCAGGAAGACUAAAGCAAAUUUAAUUGUAUAACAAAAAACACUGUACUUCUAAAUAUCCUCAAUACAAACUGGAUGCAAGAUGAAAAAUUCGGAACUAUUAAUGCUCUCUGUUCCACUCUAAUAUUGCCAGCUACAGCAUUUUCAAAAUAAUGAAACCUUGCCAACAUAAGGAUAGUUUGUCAGAUAAGAUGCAUGAGUUGAAUUUCACACUCAUGAUUAAAUAUUUUUUCACAUCUUUUUUUUCAACAAAUUCAAGUACCUAUAAUGAGAAUUUUCUUAUAUGUAGCUGAAGCUAAUUAUAUCUUAUAUCUAAAUACCAACACUAUUCA